GCCAUUUUGCACAAUAAGCAUCAAAGACAACCGUUUAGUUGCAAAUAAAAGAAUACAUCUGUCUGAAAAUUGAAUUGGCCAAUAGUCACCUCUCUGGGUUCAGGCAGAUAUGACUUGAUGCAUCUCAACCAAUUGCCUAUAGCCACUCUUAAAAUCAAAUCAAAUGCAAACUUGACUGGUACUGUUCCUUUUUGCUUGAUGAGGGGGAUUCUGCUACUUGUCUCCAGGUCUGAUAAUAUUCACAUCUAAAUUAUGAACUUCAAAAUUUAAUUAACCAGGCCUGUAUUGUUGCAUCGACAAUAUAGUCGACUCUAGAAGUUAACAACUCAACUUGAUAUGCAAUUUUGGAGACAUCAUAUUACUUCUGCUUUCUUGCAAUUUGAUGAGAACCAAAAUAAUAGUGAUUUCGUAAUAGUCAACUCUCACGUGUAAGGAACAUAUAUGCUUACUGGGAACUCUUGCUGUUAAUCAGUUAUAACUGUUGUUAUCACCGAUCGACCAUAAUCAGUUUUUAGAAGAG
rnacentral:lncRNA from 1 species